rnacentral:lncRNA from 1 species
AAGGAACACAAGACACUUUUGUUAACCCGGUGUUCACCUCCCUUCCUCGAUGUGAAGAAAUAGCUAUACUCACCAAAGAGAGGAAUCGGCAUUUCACCCUUCCAUUAUAUGAAACACGGGAGUACAAUACCCUGAGGUUACAAUUGAUUCAUGCCUCCCUUGAUCUCUGUUACAAUUCACCUAGAGAUACAAGUAUAUAGGGAAGAGCCUAGAUAGCCUACCGAGAACCUACUUCUCUCUACCUCCCUUUCCUAAGACCCUAGCUAUGGUCUCGAGCUCUCUCUCUGUCGAGCUCCCUCUCUUCCGUGCCUCUCCUCUAUGUUUCCCUUGUCCUAUCUUGUGUUAAGUUUUCUGUUGUGACCUUUUUUUCCUGAAAUAUUAGCAAUUGACCUAAUGCACUUUGUCAACUAGGCCCAUAGUUCAUACGCGCGUAACUUGUGCAAGCUGGCCUAACUUGAACAAGUACGAUGGACUUGACCAAACCUCACAAAACUAAUCCACCUGUUUAGUCCAAGUCCAUAACUCUUUCUUUGUGCCGACACUUCCUGGAACCUGAGCAAACCUGCUCAACUUCUGCAUCUCCUUGCAGCCUCUUGAGAACCGGCCUUCUCAGCCUCACACAUUCUGAAUAAAGCUCAUCCGGCUUCAUCCACCUGUUAAGCUUCACCUGCUCAACUUCAAUGUUUCUUAAACAGGUUUCCUCUCAGCAUCAGUAUCCAACUCGAUACAACCUGAAGACUCUCUUGUUGCUUUCUCUUGGAACCUCUUACCCGAAGCUCUACCCUUAACAACCAUGUCUUCAAACCAUGCAGCCUCUUUUCUUUAGUCCCUAUCAUGCGCUUGAUUAUAUAUUGUCGACCCUUCUUAUGCCUCAACCUUGAAGCAAUGUCGAAUUUAAUCAGCCUCUUGUCUAACAGAUCAAUCAUUGAACCCAAACAUGUACCGCCAUCAGUGAUAAGGAACACGCCGCCUAACUGUCUGCUAGGAAGACUUUCGACACAACCCCUUGUUCAACUUAUUGAAACUUUCUUUGACUUAUCCUUGUGACUCUUAUUCAAAUCUUGAAUCCAAUCUUUCUGCAAAAACUUUGAUGCCGAUGCUGGCCCAAAACUCUUGCGGACCCUUAAUCACCACUGCCUCAAACCAUAAAUCCUUUGACCCAACCCUUUGUAACCAACCUCAACAGCCAGUAGACUCACUGCUAUCCUGAGAUUUUCCUUUACAAUAACCUGAAUGAACAUCUUUUCUUGAACAUCACUCUUCACCGUUGCUGUUGCCAACAGGUCACGCCGCUUAACUCAACUCGCUAAGAAAACUUUCGAUACAAAGAAUCUCUGCUCAACCUCUGCUGACAUAAAUCAUUACCUAUCUGCAACCAUGAUACUUUUGUAGACCCUUUUGAUUCACCUCAUAUACCCUGAGAUAUUGAAACAAACUGCUACUGAAUCUCCUGCAGAAAACCCGAAACAUACAUGUUUCCAUCCUAAGUCAUUCUCUGAUUUGAACAGAUACCUGUCCAGCAAGACUCUGCCUUGAACACACUCGUACCCCUAUCGAAAUCAACAUGUCACACCUCACAACUCCAUCUUGUUGUGAGUACUUUUGACACAAGUCUCAUGUUCAAUUCCUUGAGUAUGCAAAAUAAUUACUAGUAGAUUUAACCUCACUACUAGUAUCCUUUAACCAUAUCUCGCAUCAUCAAAGCCUGUGAUGCUCUCCUAAGAUACUCCCUUACAGAUUUUUCCAUGUUAAAAUCGAGCCCCUGACGAGUUUCUUCAGCUGUAACCAGACCUGCAACACAAUCUCUAGUGUGCAAACUCUACCAAAAGCCUUUGGUGCUUGCAUCUUCCUUCUUCUCAAACCUGAACCUUGAUCUGUUCAAGCCUGAUGUUCCAAUCUUGUCAAGUCUGUAAGUAUUUCUCGGAAGAUUGCCAUUUCCUCCUUUUUGAUUUUGAGCUUCUGUUAUUUGUCUGAGAGCUCCACCUUGACGACUGUGGUCAUGAGACCAAACCAACGUCCCUUAUUUACCAGUGUUCAUUUGAACCCUCUGACUCAGACUUCCAUAACGAUUCCUCCAAGGUAAACUCACACACGCUUCUCCUAGUUGUGGUAGCGAAUCUAUGCUUCCUGAAAAAGUGUUGAAUGACUGUUGUUUCAUACCCUUUAUCCUCAGGAUUACAACCAGUCGUAACAACCUGUUCAACCCGAUUCUACCUACACAUUUUCUCUGCCUUUGGCAAGAAUCUACAAGCAAAUUCUAACCUUGAAUCGUCUUCUCCUCUGGCUUGUUCUUGUCACUCACACGACCUCAUCAAAGCUACUACAUGUUGCUACCCCAAAUAUCCAUUUGCUCCAACAUAUACAUGUGUAUCCUUUACACCAUGUGCCUUUGCUUUAGUUGUUUCUUCGUGGAGGUACAACCUGUUUCUACCAACCUAGAAACUUUUCAUCUCAAUGCGCCCAAUGAUAUUGACUUCUAUUCUUGUGUUGACUCAAAACAGAAUGCCAUUUGUUUCGUCUCAUUACUACCAAAAGAAACUAAAAUGUGCUGCUACAAGCUCCAUUGUGAUCUUCUAACUCUGAUCAUCCCCACUUGAGCUUCUUUUUAACCACAAGAACCUAAUCCUUAACCUCUCUGUGACUGAACCUGCAACCCUGUAACUCAAAUAUUCUUAGCUAGACAGACUUUGAUGCCUCAAAGUGCCAACAUAAUGUCUCAACCCAAACUUGAUCUCCUCCUCGUGUUGAACAUUUCUUUGCAACUUUCUGUUCACACCCGAACCUUGGAACCACUGAUCAAAAUCCGAAUAACCUCUGAACACACAUAUUGUCUUCAACUUCUAAGGCGUCCCCUAGACUUUGAGAUUUCGAAGUAUCACCAACUGCUAUUCUUUACAUCUUUCUGAAACCACCCUGCAUAUCUCUUCCACAAACAAACUGACCAACGCAUAAUCUGACCCAGACCAAAACCUUGAUCAUCUUUUGCAAAGAUAACAUACAUCCCUUGUGAUCUUGAAAGCUUCAGUUCCUUACCCAUUGCAAACCAUGAGUAUCCAGCAAUCACCACCUUUCUUUGUGACUCUAUUGGAAUGAGACCAUUUAUUCUAAAGAUUUGAACGUGUGAAAUUGAUGACAUGGCUUUGAUUCCAUCUCCUUAAGCCUAACUUUGACUCAAUAUGAAUUUGUCUUCAAUUUAAGAUAUCCCCAUCUCAAACAACCAUUAAAUCAAUUUCUAACCCUGCAGACUACGAACACGCUCAACUGUGCAGCUGUUCUUGAACACGCUCAUAUGUGCAACUGUUCUUGCUUCAGUCUUUGGAUCUUCCCGUUCUUGCAAACCCUGCAGCAUCCCUUACUUGUUUCUGAUUUCAGAGACCAAAAACCACCAGAUCCUAUUGGAUCUUCCUCCUUUUUCGGCGUCUUCUUCUUCGUGUACCACACAUGAACGCCAUUUUCUUCUUUCUCUGAUGUUGCCUAUCUUUCAGCAUCAUCUCUGAUUCGUUGCACUUGAACCCGUGACGCGAUCGAGACUACAAGUCCCCUGAUUCUAUUUCUUCAGAAUCGAUUCAGCUUCAACCUAGACAAACCCUUGGAUCCCCAAAAAACAGCGCUCUGAUACCACUUGUAGAGGAUUUAUCUCUUUACCUAGAAGCUUAUAGUAGUUUGUAUCACAAACCUAUUCACUAAUCAAGCACAGUGGAACACGAAUCAAGAAAGAAAGAAGGAACACAAGACACUUUUGUUAACCCGGUGUUCACCUCCCUUCCACGAUGUGAAGAAUGAGCUAUACUCACCGGAGAGAGGAAUCGACCUUUCACCCUUCCAUUAUAUGAAACACGAGAGUACAAUACCCAGAGGUUACAAUUGAUUCAUGCCUCCCUUGAUCUCUGUUACAAUUUACCUAGAGAUACAAGAAUAUAGGGAAGAGCCUAGUUAGCCUACCGAGAACCUACUUCUCUCUAGCUCCCUUUCCUGAAACCCAAGCCAUGGUCUCGAGCUCUCUCUCGAGCUCCCUCUCUUCUGUGCCUCUCAUC